CCGACCGCUUCGGAUCGGUCGUGGAAGCCCGAGCCGUCAGUGGCCUGCCUGCCGGCGGUCUGCAGCCAAUACGGCACCAGCCUGGGCUGUGGGGAUGACAGGUGCCAGAAGCUGCACUUGUGCGUCCUCCUCCUGGCGGACAUCUGCAAGUUCGGCGACGCCUGUCGCAGAGGCCACUCGCUGACCACAGUGCACAACCAGAUGGUGUGCAACAAGUUUGGACUUGAGACCACCCGGGAACUGCUGUCUAUCCAAAAGUUGCAGCUCGCCUUUCAAGGAAGUGGUCGCGUGACAGAAGCAUUUUAUCACAAACGCCUGGAAGUGUGCUACAAGGCCGGCUCCGCGAGUCCUUGCUGUGAACAUCUGUGCAACAGAUUGCAUAUCUGCAGGCGAUUUUUGGCGGGGAACUGCACCAGAGUGAUGUGCACGUUUGGCCACGAUCUCCACACCACGCACAACAAUAAUGUGCUCAGCCGA